CGCGUAGGCGGGAGAACAAGUCAGAUGUGAAAUGUGGGGGCUUAACCCUCAAGCUGCAUUUGAAACUGUACUUCUUGAGUAUCGGAGAGGCAGGCGGAAUUCCUAGUGUAGCGGUGAAAUGCGUAGAUAUUAGGAGGAACACCAGUGGCGAAGGCGGCCUGCUGGACGACAACUGACGCUGAGGCGCGAAAGCGUGGGGAGCAAACA
rnacentral:rRNA from 1 species